rnacentral:rRNA from 1 species
AUUGAACGCUGGCGGCAUGCCUUACACAUGCAAGUCGAACGGUAACAGGGAGCUUGCUCCGCUGACGAGUGGCGAACGGGUGAGUAAUGCAUCGGAACGUACCCAGUAGUGGGGGAUAACGCAGCGAAAGCUGUGCUAAUACCGCAUACGCACUGAGGUGGAAAGCAAGGGACCUUCGGGCCUUGUGCGAUUGGAGCGGCCGAGGUCAGAUUAGCUAGUUGGUGGGGUAAAAGCUUACCAAGGCGACGAUCUGUAGCUAGUCUGAGAGGAUGAUCAGCCACACUGGGACUGAGACACGGCCCAGACUCCUACGGGAGGCAGCAGUAGGGAAUUUUCCGCAAUGGGCGAAAGCCUGACGGAGCAAUGCCGCGUGCACGACGAAGGCCUUCGGGUUGUAAAGUGCUGUCAGAAGGGAAGAAGGUCUAUCAGCCGAACAGGUUGAGAGGCUUGACGGUACCUUCAGAGGAAGCCACGGCUAAUUACGUGCCAGCAGCCGCGGUAAUAC